rnacentral:lncRNA from 1 species
AGAGGUGCUCUGUAAUUUUAGCUUCAGGUUGGUAUAGUUACUCUAUUCCUCCUUACAAUUUACUUUUCCUAUUUUUGCUGGAGAAAGAAAAAGAGAUUAUGAUAGCUUCAAUUUCAGAAGGAAUUAGUUAUAAUGUAUAUGCUAAACUAAAUGUACUAUAAAUAUCAACUUAAUUUUGGUUCUUUAACUGCUGCCAAAGCUGUUACAAUGCCAAAACUGCAAUUCACUGGUGGAGCUUGUAAAUUUAAACAAAAAGAUCUAACAUUUAUAAUGCAUUCAGCUUUAUUACAUGAAUUUAUAAAUACAGCUGUAAUGUGGUUCAUUAAUAAAAUCUGUUAUCAAAGACAAUCUUGAUAAGCUUUCUCGUUGUUGAACAAAAUAUUAGGUCUGGGCUUUGGCUGUUUGAUGGCUUGUGGAUUCUGCUGGGAUUGUCAAGCUUACUAGCUCCGCUUCUGAAAAUUAUGUGAGUUCUUAAACCACACAUCAAGGCCAAUAAUUGAUUGCCUUUUGUUCAAACAUUUCAUGAAGAGGAUCAUACUUUUAUUAAAUUGAUAAUUUUACAAUUUUGUGAUCAUACUCGAAUAACAUGCACUUUAGUAUGAUUAAUUUUGACAUGGACCUCAAUUUUCAUUACCAUAUUGUUACUGGAAUGAUUUCUUUUUUUUUUUUUUGGGUUGAUUAUACAGUCACUAUAAAUCUGCAGUUGGGGAGUGCUUCAAUGGUGGAUUGGGCUGAAAUUUCGAUAGCAAGUUCUGGAUGUAAUUUUUCGUUCCGAAUUGUUGGAGGAUUAAGAUAAGAUUUGGAGGGUGAGAUAUAGCUUGCAUGUGCAAAGUAACUCUGGUUUUGAAAACUUUUCAUGUUUUUGGUUCACAUUUAUAUGCUGUGGUGCUUGAUUGUUUUGACUUAAAUGUAAG